GAGGGAGACAUUCCAUCACCUAUCUCAUUGCCUUGUCUUCUUUCCCAUUCCCUCCUCCGCCUCCAUUGGCCGCCUCAUCCACCUUCAGAACUCAAACGCUCAGGUCAUGAUUGGGGUCCUACACUUCUCAUCCUCAGCAGUUGAGGGUACACGCUGAGAAGACAAAAUCCACCAACGGAGCUAAGGAAGCACGCGUUCAUUAGGAUAUCCGUAGCUAGUUGGUUCUAGAGUUUUGGAGCAGGGGUGGUGCUUCAGCACACCCCCACGCCCCCUUACAUCCGUCACUACAAAAUUGCCACCCCUCCUACAGAUCGAGUGAGCAAGUUGGGAUUCUCUGUUCCAUCUCCAUGUAGAUCGCCAGCGCUUUCUCUCCUUCUCAAUUCGUAUGGCCACGAGAAACAAAAAGUUCUUCAGUGGCAUCAUGAAGCACUUCUUCAGAAAUCGCCACCACAAAGAUAUGAAGGAGGAGGAGGAGGAGGAGGAGGAGGACUUGGUGGCUAACGUGGCAACGGAGCAAAGGGUGUUCCGGUACGAGACGCUGGUGGUGGCCACCAACAACUUUAGUCCCAAGCACAAGCUUAGCGAACGGAGAUUCAAUCCAGUCU